GCGGGUGUAGCUCAGUGGUAGAGUGCAUGCUUAGCAUGCACAAGGUCCUGGGUUCAAUCCCCAGUCCCUCCU
rfam:Camelus ferus unplaced genomic scaffold scaffold1466, whole genome shotgun sequence.